GAGGAUAUAGCUCAGUGGUAGAGCUUACACCUAGCAUGCAUGAGGCCCUGGGUUCAAUCCCCAGUACCUCCA
rnacentral:tRNA from 1 species